rnacentral:rRNA from 1 species
ACGGAAGGCAGCAGUGGGGAAUAUUGCACAAUGGGGGAAACCCUGAUGCAGCAACGCCGCGUGAGUGAAGAAGUAUUUCGGUAUGUAAAGCUCUAUCAGCAGGGAAGAUAAUGACGGUACCUGACUAAGAAGCCCCGGCUAACUACGUGCCAGCAGCCGCGGUAAUACGUAGGGGGCAAGCGUUAUCCGGAUUUACUGGGUGUAAAGGGAGCGCAGGCGGUAACGCAAGCCAGAGGUGAAAACCCGGGGCGCAACCCCGAGGAUUGCCUUUGGAACUGGGGAACUGGAGUGCUGGAGGGGCAGGCGGAAUUCCUGGUGUAGCGGUGAAAUGCGUAGAUAUCAGGAGGAACACCGGUGGCGAAGGCGGCCUGCUGGACAGUAACUGACGCUGAGGCUCGAAAGCGUGGGGAGCAAACAGGAUUAGAUACCCUGGUA